AUUGAACGCUGGCGGCAUGCUUUACACAUGCAAGUCGAACGGCAGCGCGGGCUUCGGCCUGGCGGCGAGUGGCGAACGGGUGAGUAAUACAUCGGAACGUGCCCGGUAGUGGGGGAUAGCUCGGCGAAAGCCGGAUUAAUACCGCAUACGACCCGAGGGUGAAAGCGGGGGAUCUUCGGACCUCGCGCUAUUGGAGCGGCCGAUGGCAGAUUAGCUAGUUGGUGGGGUAAAGGCCUACCAAGGCGACGAUCUGUAGCUGGUCUGAGAGGACGACCAGCCACACUGGGACUGAGACACGGCCCAGACUCCUACGGGAGGCAGCAGUGGGGAAUUUUGGACAAUGGGCGAAAGCCUGAUCCAGCAAUGCCGCGUGUGUGAUGAAGGCCUUCGGGUUGUAAAGCACUUUUGGCGGGAACGAAAAGGACUGUGCCAAUACCACGGUUCGAUGACGGUACCCGCAGAAUAAGCACCGGCUAACUACGUG
rnacentral:rRNA from 1 species